GGCUCAGAUUGAACGCUGGCGGCAUGCCUUACACAUGCAAGUCGAACGGCAGCACGGGUGCUUGCACCUGGUGGCGAGUGGCGAACGGGUGAGUAAUACAUCGGAACGUACCUUAUCGUGGGGGAUAACGCAGCGAAAGCUGUGCUAAUACCGCAUACGCCCUGAGGGGGAAAGCGGGGGAUCGAAAGACCUCGCGCGAUUAGAGCGGCCGAUGCCUGAUUAGCUUGUUGGUGGGGUAAAAGCCCACCAAGGCGAUGAUGGGUAGGGGUCCUGAGAGGGAGAUCCCCCACACUGGUACUGAGACACGGACCAGACUCCUACGGGAGGCAGCAGUGAGGAAUAUUGGACAAUGGGCGCAAGCCUGAUCCAGCCAUGCCGCGUGCAGGAAGAAGCAUCUAUGGUGUGUAAACUGCUUUUGUACGGGAAGAAACACUCCUACGUGUAGGAGCUUGACGGUACCGUAAGAAUAAGGAUCGGCUAACUCCGUG
rnacentral:rRNA from 1 species